GUCUUGCAACACUGCAAAGCAGUGGGAUCCACUAUGCAGCCUGUCCCUCCACUCGGGAGCGCAGUGCCAGGGAGGCACACAGCAGUACUGAACUCCAUGCCGCAACAGAUUGCUGAGAAGGGCGACGGCGCAGAAAUGACAUAAAACAUGACAAAGCACGCUGUCCUUGACAGGCAAGCAGGGAAGAAGGAAAAAAAAAAAAAAAAAAAAAAA